rnacentral:sRNA from 1 species
AAACUUUUUAUGUAAUUUUUCUGGCACGUGGUAUCUUUUUCUUUUAACAUCUUUGGAUCAACAUUGUCCGAUAUAUGGUCUAUUUUUACUACGCGAGGUAACGAGAUUUAGUAGAAUCGAAUUCUGAUAGAAACGGUGGAAUCAGAUGGACUUAACUACUUGAUUAAAGACACAUCCCUCACACGUGACAAACCAAAAAAAA